CCUUGUGCCACGGGGGCUGCUGCUCACCACUGUCCUUGCCGAGGCCAUGUGCUGGGAUAUUCUGCAUUUCUGUGGUGUUGCUCUGUCUCAUGAUACUACACCCAUGGCAAGUCUCUCACACAGGACUGUGCACGCCAGUAAAAUAUGAAUCUCAUCAUUUUCUUUUAUUUUUUUUCUGUCUAGUAUGUGAACAAUAGAUGCCAAACACCAUGGGAGCACAAACCAUAGUAAAAUGUAAUAAGAUAAUAAAGAGCUUCAUCGAGUUGAUGUUCCAUUGAUGCUAAGGCAGAAUCUGGCUUGUGCUGCAAUUUCCUGCCAAGGUUUGGACUGGAUUAUCAGAGGUGAAGCAACAUUCUCCGGAACCCAGCAACAGAGUCCGAUCUUUAGCACAUAAAAGAUACUUAGAAAGGCGAAGCCUUGGAGAGCAUCUGGAAAGUGAAGAUGGGACAGAGGGUCAAGAAAUGGAAAGGAAGAGCCUUGGACGAGAAGGAGGUCAAACGCAUGUUGAAUGGCUGGAGGCUUUCUGAGGGCUGCUUGAGAGACAGAUGAGAGAGCCAGGAGUCAAGCCUGCAUGGGUGUGGGGGUCCCCAGUGAGUCUCAGUUGUCUGCAGUCUGCCUUUGCUUACUUGUAGAGGUAGCCAGAGCAUCCCCAGCUUCAGUUAAAAAAGAGAGUGAAAAAUGCGGCCACAGUUGUCUCUCCUCAUUGAGACCUCUGUUCUCACAGUACCCAUUCCUCUCCCUGUGGCCACUCUGAGCUAAGAUGCAUAGUUCGGAAAGCCAGGGGGGCAGCCAUCAGUGAUGUUAGAGAAAACAUCCAGGCAUAGCCCUUGGCCUCGCGGCAACACACAAGGUAGGCUUCUCCUAAUCCUCUUGGUGUUGUUAGCCUUCCCCACACUCGGGUCCAUCCUCCCUUCCCAAUUGGAGACAAAUUUUGAAAAUGUAAAAAUUGUAGAAAAUCGGAAAGAAAAAACAACUUGACUGCCCCCCACUACAUUCUUACUUCCUCCCUCUUCCUGUCUUUCCCAGUUUUGCUUUCUUUAUUUCUUGUCAUAUGUCAGAAACUGUUUCAACAGCUAUAAAAGUAUUAGUGACCUGUAACCUCAAUUUGGAAGGAAGACACGUAGGAAAAUGACAGUAUAAUUUUGUUCCAGUAGAUGCAUACAUAUUACAUUUAUUUUUAUAAUAAUUUGAUUAUUUUGUUUAAGAAACAUACACAAGCAGGACAAAAUUCAAACCAAAUUUCAAACCAUUUCAUAACCCAAUGCAAAGUGACAUCCAUAUAGGUCUCUCUCUUUCCUCUGUUCCUUCACGGUUCAAUUUCUGAUCCCAGAACCAACCUUUGAUAAAAAUUUCUUAUUUCCCUUGUCUUUCUGACUCCCUACAUGCAUGUGCAUAGAUUUAUAAGCAUGUUCACAUUAAAUACACAUUUACAUAAUGCAUAAGAGCGUGCCAUAGUUCUCAUUUUGCAGGUUUAUAUUUUACUCUGUAGAGUAGGAGCACAUUUGUGAGGGCGUAAGAACUGCCUACCUUUCAUUGGCUGCCUUGUAGCAUAGGAUUUAUUUGUGCAUAUAUUAAAGCCUGUAAAUUUAAAAGCCACAUGUUUUUAAGUAUAUGCUUGACUGUGUAAACUUUCUGGUGCAAAUUAUUGAGUUAUGUAAUCACACCAGUGACUUCCCAAGCCAUCAUCAGCCCGGCCCCUUGGGCGGUCCUUUCUUUGCACUCACUGCAGUUUUCUUAAAACUUGAUCUGUGUUACUUUGUACCCCUUAGUUUUGUUGCUUCUAAAUAAUGCUUAGCAUAUGAUAAUCUGCCCUGUACACAUUUUCCUCACCUGCUCCUUCAGUGACUGACAGCUAGAUUGCUUCUGACGGUUGCUAUUACAAACAGCUCAAUGAACUAUUCUUGAGUAUGUUUCCGUACUGAUUUGUGAGGCAGAUAGAAAGCCAGGAAUGGAAUUUCUGGGCACGGAUUAUAUAUGCCCAUCCAAUCAAAGUACCGCCACAUUGUACACCAGAGUGGCCGUGUUUGCGCAUGUUUUCAGAUGCAUUGGAGAUGUCUUGGAUCACCACGUCUGUUCCACCACUGUGUUCAAGCCCGCUUUCUAGGAGGUUUGCUUAAUCUGAUUAACAUGCAGAUAUGUUUUCUUGCUAGUUUAACUUGCAUGUUUGUAAGUAUAAAUUUGUUUGGGCAAUUAUUUUUAUAAACUUCCAUGUUUGCUGCACUUCUGUUGCUGCUAACUCCUAUCUCGGUCUCAUUUUCUUAGAUUGCCCAUUCUUUCAUUAUUGAUCUUGGAAAUCUUAAAUAGCUGACCUAUAUAUUUUAGAUAAUUUCUCAUUAACUUUAGAUAAUAAAAUAUUUUCUGCUGAC